GCGAAUGGUGGAUGCCUUGACUGGUAAAGGCGAUGAAGGACGUACUAGACUGCGAUAAGCUACGGGGAGCUGUCAAGAAGCUUUGAUCCGUAGAUUUCCGAAUGGGGCAACCCAAUGUAUAGAGAUAUACAUUACCUAUAUAGGAGCGAACGAGGGGAAUUGAAACAUCUUAGUACCCUCAGGAAAAGAAAUCAAUAGAGAUUGCGUCAGUAGCGGCGAGCGAAAGCGCAAGAGGGCAAACCCAGUGCUUGCACUGGGGGUUGUAGGACUGCAAUGUGCAAGAGGUGAGUUUAGCAGAACAUUCUGGAAAGUAUAGCCAUAGAGGGUGAUAGUCCCGUAUGCGAAAAACAAACCUUAGCUAGCAGUAUCCUGAGUAGGGCGGGACACGAGAAAUCCUGUCUGAAGCUGGGUCGACCACGAUCCAACCCUAAAUACUAAUACCAGAUCGAUAGUGCACAAGUACCGUGAGGGAAAGGUGAAAAGAACUGAGGUGAUCAGAGUGAAAUAGAACCUGAAACCAUUUGCUUACAAUCAUUCAGAGCCCUAUGUAGCAAUACAGGGUGAUGGACUGCCUUUUGCAUAAUGAGCCUGCGAGUUGUGGUGUCUGGCAAGGUUAAGCAAACGCGAAGCCGUAGCGAAAGCGAGUCUGAAUAGGGCGCUUAGUCAGAUGCUGCAGACCCGAAACGAAGUGAUCUAUCCAUGAGCAAGUUGAAGCUAGUGUAAGAACUAGUGGAGGACUGAACCCAUAGGCGUUGAAAAGCCCCGGGAUGACUUGUGGAUAGGGGUGAAAGGCCAAUCAAACUUCGUGAUAGCUGGUUCUCUCCGAAAUAUAUUUAGGUAUAGCGUUGUGUCGUAAUAUAAGGGGGUAGAGCACUGAAUGGGCUAGGGCAUACACCAAUGUACCAAACCCUAUCAAACUCCGAAUACCUUAUAUGUAAUCACAGCAGUCAGGCGGCGAGUGAUAAAAUCCGUCGUCAAGAGGGAAACAACCCAGACUACCAGCUAAGGUCCCUAAAUCUUACUUAAGUGGAAAACGAUGUGAAGUUACUUAAACAACCAGGAGGUUGGCUUAGAAGCAGCCAUCCUUUAAAGAAAGCGUAAUAGCUCACUGGUCUAGUGAUUUUGCGCGGAAAAUAUAACGGGGCUAAAGU
rnacentral:rRNA from 1 species